CUAGUAACGGCGAGUGAACCGGGAAGAGCUCAAAUUUGAAAUCUGGCGUGCUCAGUGCGUCCGAGUUGUAAUCUAUAGAGUCGUUUUCCGUGCCGGACUGUGUCCAAGUCCCUUGGAACAGGGUAUCAAAGAGGGUGAUAAUCCCGUACUUGACACAAUGACCGGUGCUCUGUGAUACGUCUUCUACGAGUCGAGUUGUUUGGGAAUGCAGCUCAAAAUGGGUGGUGAGUUCCAUCUAAAGCUAAAUAUUGGCGAGAGACCGAUAGCGAACAAGUACCGUGAGGGAAAGAUGAAAAGCACUUUGGAAAGAGAGUUAAACAGUACGUGAAAUUGUUAAAAGGGAAACGAUUGAAGUCAGUCGUGACUGAGAGGCUCAGCCGGUUCUGCCGGUGUAUUCCCCUCAGUCGGGUCAACAUCAGUUUUGUUCGGUGGAUAAGGGCAGUUGGAAGGUGGCACCCUCGGGUGUGUUAUAGCCAGCUGUCGCAUACAUCGGAUGAGACUGAGGAAUGCAGCUCGCCUUUAUGGCCGGGGUUCGCCCACGUUCGAGCUUAGGAUGUUGACAUAAUGGCUUUAAACGACCCGUCUUGAAACACGGACC
rnacentral:rRNA from 1 species